UACUAUAAAAUAGACCCCAACUCUCUUUUCCUCUUGCCACGUAAGCAAAUAGUGCAAGGAGAAGCCGCCACGUGUUCUAUUUUUAAAACGUUGCGUAUCAUUAACUCUUUUACAUUAUAUUUUUGGGCUUUGUAUUUGGGCUUUAUGAUUCUAUAUGUUGAUCGAGACGAAAGCGACCAAACGUAUUCUUCCUCGGUUUCAGAACGAUUUUAGGGUUCGUCCUCCUCUUUCCCGUGAACUUCUUAGACUUCAGAGUCCCACUCUGGUCCAUUGAUGGAAUCUUUUGGUCUUCCAAAUGGCACUCAACUUUGGAUCAAGGUCCCUAUCACCUCUUCACCUCUGAUUUUGUUUUCUAACCAUCUUGAGAUUUCUGUGUAUACUUUCCGAAAAUUGAGUUUCUCAAGAAAAUCUGAGUUUCAAUUGUGUUUCAAAGUGUUUUAUUUAUUUUACGUCACAUUCAAUCCAGUAAUAUCGUAUUUUAUUAAACUUUUUUUGUGGAGUUGUGGAUUAGAUUUCCGAUUUUUGAUUGAUUCCAAUUUCGGUGAGGGUUGAUCUAGGGAAUAACUCAGCAGAAUCUCAUCAUCAAAAGCCAAGGAGCAUCUCAAAGUAUCAUCUAGCUUCCGAGUAUGCUGUGACGGAUCUCGAUCAGCCGCAAUCGACGUGUUCAUCCUAAUCGUCAUUAUCAUAUCUUAUGGGUUCUUGAUCAUUCCUUGCAGCAAAUUCAUCACCGUCAAAGCCGUUUUUAUCAAUUUGGCCGCAAGACGACUUCACAAGAAUGGAUUGGGCUCGGUGGAAGUUGUGUAUAUGAGAAGCAGUGCUGCAUAUCAAGCUAUGAAGAGUUACAUCAACGUACAGUUAGCGGAAGAGACUGUAGCUCACCGCCAAGCCCGUGCUUUAGAGCGUGUAUGGAUUUGCAAUCAGAAUACUGCUGAGAUCUUUAGUGAUGCUAAAUACAAUAUCUAUGAUGCUGAUAAGACUUAUGAGAAUGAUGGACCAGAUUGAAGCUUUUAGUCAGAGGUAGAUAUAGAGGAUACUUUAAUGCUGGUGGGAGCUUUGUAGAAUAUGUUAUCAACAAGUAAGUCAAGGUGCAGAUCAAACAUUGGUUUAACGUUUGAGAAACGUGAGCAAGAUCAAAUGCACAAUUUGAAAGAGAGUCAGAAAUUACAAGUCUGGAAAUGGGCACACAUCUUCAAGACUCUAUCAGUAAAUGUAUACAAUAAUUAUAAGGUGAUUUAUAUUGCUAUCAACUGGCCAACAUCUGAGUAAAAAGGAAUAUUGAGAGGGUAUUAGAAAGUUGAGUGACCUUAAAUAUGUUAUCUUUUAUCUCUUAGUUGAUUAUGUAUUGUUGUGAUCUAUAACUCCAAGUUCGUCCUCGAUUGUUUAA